UUGUGUCGCCUCCAGGCCCCCCCCCAUGAGGACAGGAUGGGCCCCCCCCCCAGCAGAGCUGCGCUGGGCUCCCUGGUGACGCAGCUGCAGGCUCUGGGUGCCUCCAUCCUUGGGGACAACGGGGACCCCCCCUGACCCGGUGAGUCCCGUCCCCCCCCAGCCCUGCCAGUGGGGGUCCCACCAGUCUGCACCAGUAAGGCACUGGUGGGACCCUGUGUGGCCUCCUCCUCCCAGUUUAUCCCAGUCACUUCCUGCUUCUCCCCAUCCCGACGCCCAAACUCUUUUUAUUUCCUUUCUUUUUUUACAGCUUUGCCCCUUUUUGGCCUCUUUUUAACCCAAUUAAAGCUCGUGGUUUGACAUCA